AGAGUAGAGGGACCAAAAUGCACUCUUAACUUGCCACACACAUGUUAUGACUGUAAAGGGAAGGCACUUUCAAGUGAAGUAGCCAGUUCAAGCCAGUUAGCAGUUCCAUUUCUUGCUUUUCACUUUAAGCAAUUUUAUGCUUACGAUUGCCCACUUUUCUUCUCUCUAUAUCUGUACUACAAGGAUGAAGAGAGAGUGAAAAGUGGUGAUGAUAAGUCAACGAGACGAGGAUCAAAAUUAUGAACCUGACAUCUGUUCAAAUGUAUAGCAGCCGUCGUUGGAGCUCUGAUAGGUGUUGUACUACAACGCAGCCUUGCCUUGUACUUCUUUGCAGUACAUAGAAAAUGCUGGUGGGUGGGCUGGUGGUGCUUGAAUUUAGUAUAAAUAAGAAAAACAAUUGCUGUGUUUUUUUGCCAUAUAAGAAGCUUGGGUUUUUGUUCUCUCGGCCUGGCAUUUAAUGCUCUUGAUUAUUGCUUUGGAAGAAGCAAUAUUUAUGGUUUUUGGGCUUUUCUUGAAAGCCUCGAAUCAAGUUCGUCUGCUGUCGUCUGUUUUUCUUGGAGAGUUUCCUUAAGUCAACUUAGAGGCUGGCCCUUGCCCAUGUGUUGAUUUGAAUGUUUUGUUGUCUUUCUGAAGGAAACUAUAUGCUCUUGCAUCUACUUGUAUUGAUUGAUGGAGACUUGUUAGUUGACUGAGGAAGUUGGAUUCUUCGGGUGCUUUUUGAAGCUGUGGUCGAAAGAAGAAGAGGAGCAAGAAAAAGGAGGCGGCUUAUAAGUGAGAAGAUUGUGAUGAAUAUGAACAUGGAAGAAAUGAAAGAGAUUGAGAGAGUUGGGGGAGAGGGCAUGGAAGAAGUUAGAGAUGAGCCAGAGGAUAUCAAGAGGAUUGCUCCAUGGACUAAACAGAUCACAGUUAGGGGAAUUGUUGCUAGCAUAGCAAUUGGAAUCAUAUACAGUGUUAUAGUCAUGAAGCUGAAUCUCACCACUGGUCUAGUCCCAAAUCUCAAUGUCUCUGCUGCUCUUCUUGCAUUUGUGUUCCUCAGAACAUGGACUAAGCUCCUCUCAAAGGCUGGAAUUGUAACCAGUCCCUUUACCCGACAAGAGAAUACCAUAGUUCAAACUUGUGCUGUUGCUUGUUAUAGCAUUGCUGUUGGAGGAUUGAGACUUUAAACUCAUGUGUUGUUUAAAUUUUGAACAAUUUUUGCUAAUCUUUUUCAUAUGUGUGCCAAAUUAUGAUUUGUUUAUUGAAUUGCAGGUGGUUUUGGAUCUUAUCUACUGGUUUUGAAUAGGAAGACAUAUGAGCAAGCUGGGGUUGAUACAGAGGGGAAUACUCCUGGGAGCACUGGGGAACCUGGGAAUGGUUGGAUGACUGGUUUCCUUUUUGUAAGCAGCUUUGUUGGGCUACUUGCUCUAGUUCCUCUGCGAAAGGUAAUAUGUUUUCUUCAAUUUUCUUGAUGAAUCAAUUCCAAUAUUUCUUAUAAAAUCAUUUACAAGAAUUAAAACAAUUUUUAUAAAUUUAUAAAAAGACAACACUUGACUGAUAAAUUCUGUUCCCAGCUGCAAUACAAUUUUCAAGUGUAUUUUGCAAGCAUUUGAGUUUUUAAAUUGUAUGUUCACAGUUUAUGUUAGGCUAUAUUUUGUCUACUAUUUUAUUUGAUCAGCGUUACGUUUCUAAUUCUAAUUUUGUAGUACAAACAAGAUAUCAAGUGGAUUUGACAUUAAAACAACACUAGAGGGGCAGGUUCAUGGUAUUAGAUUCCCUCUAGUUUUUUUUUUAUUCCAUGUAUGUAAAAGGUCAAGCAUGCAAUGGUUUGUGUUAAUUAUAAAAUCAUUUAUGUUUUCCAUCUCCUUAUUCUUGAUCACUUAAAUUAAUCUCCAUUUCUGGGAGUAUUUUGAUAUUUAUAGAGUUAUGAACAAAUUGCUCUACAAACCUACGAGUGUGCAAGAAAAUUUAUAAGAAUUAAAACAAUUUUUAUAAAUCUAAAAAAACAACACUUGACUGACAGAUUCUGUUCCCACAAUAACAGAAAUAUUUGCAAGAAAAAUAGAGUAAUUCUAAUAACUUGUAAGUCAUAAAUGACUAUUAAAAAGUGUAACGAACCCAUCAGACGUUUCUUAUGAUGUGGUAAUGCGUGAUAAGAAGCAAGGAGGUCUUGGUAUAGGCUUCCUAAUAUCAAAAAACAGGGCUCUGUUAUUUAAAUGGAUAUGGAGACUUUCUUCUCCGGGCUCUCUGCUCUAUGGCAUUCUUUAAUUAUUAACCUGUACAAACCAGUUUUUGAGAAUGUACAGUUCCCAUCAGACGAGCUGCAAAGGAAGAGCACAGGCUGUAUCUAUAAGCACAUAGACUUGCUGCACAUAAACUUGCCUUGAGGAUAUUAUGUUAGGAUUAUUGCCAUUAUGUGCAGCAAUCAUAGAGCAUUUACAGCCUAUCUUCUAGAAGAGGAUGGCUGCCAUUGCCAUUGUCAAAGAGGGCUGCUAGGUGCAGCCACCAUUGUUGAAGAAGAGCUGGAGUUGGCAAUCACCUUUGUUGAAAAAGAGCUGGAGUUGGCAGCCAUCAUUAUUGACCAAAGAACAAAUGGAGCAGCACCAUGGAUGCCUAUAAAUAGAGGCAUACGGUUGAGAGCAAAAUGAGAGAGUUAAGAGAGAGUGUGUAGAGCCAAAGAUGUGAGAAAUGUAGGAGAGAGUGGGCUGCCAAGGCAGCCAGCAGUAGCUGCCAUUGCAGCACUGAAAAGAGAGAAAUAGAGUGAGGUUGAGAGUUGCCAAAGAGGGGAUGAUUCCUCCUCCUCUAUUGUUGUAAAUCUUGUUCUCUCCCUAUAUAAUGCAAUGGCUUCUCAUGUGGAUGUAGGCAGUUUGCCGAACCACGUUAAAUAUUGUGUCAGUGUGCUUUACCUCCUAUGAGCAAAUAUCAUAACAUCACCGGUCGGAAUUCCCUACAAUUGGUAUCAGAGCAUAUGGUUUGAAGUGGUGUUUGAUUUUUGCUCAAAAAUGAAAGUUGUCAAAAUUGUGUUUUGACCAUACCACCGUGUAGAGGAGGAAGAGACGAAGCCACUGGUGAAAACGGCGUCAAAAUCGGACGUCGGACAUGGCCGCACUCUCCAUCACUCUCCAGCAAGGCGUCUGCCCACGCGCUCCACGCGUGCCACGCGUCUUCUUCGCCCGGAUGGGCUGACCCGACCCGAAUACUAGUUGACCUGACCCACAUGGCUGACCCGGAUAUGAAUGACGUCAGCAUGACAUAAUUGUGAUGUCAGCAUGCACAGUAGGCAUGCCAGGGAUGACAUCAGCCUGAUGUAAGUGUGAUGUCAGCAUGCACAGUAGGUAUGCCAUGUCAGCAGCCACAUCAUCGACCAGUCAGGAGACACGUCAGCACAGUGGGGCCCACCUGCCACAUCAUCAGCCGCGAGCCGAGCCGAGUUGAGCCGAGCCGAGCCGCGAGCCGAGGGACAGGAUCCAGUGUAGCUGAUCCUAUGUGCAACCGGAUCUGAGAUUGAAUCUGAGUCGUUGAUCAGGCCAGAAUUGUUUUGAUCAAAUCGUAGCCGUCUGAAGUACGAUUUGGACGAUUUCAGACUUGUUUCCAGCUAAUUUGAUCGUUCCGGAUGCAAUGGUACGGUCCGAUCGUUGAGAAUUGAGACCGAAAGUGGUGGUGGUGAAUUAACAAAAGAGAUUGCCCGAUCAGGAGGCAUCUGAAGGUCAUCAUGGUGGUCGAUGGAGAUGAAGAAGAACAUGUCACACAUGUUUACCCAAUUACAUGUGCUGAACUGCUAAGUGGAGAGAAUUUUAAUUGCCUUGAGGGAAGGCAAAAUUGGGACACUCUAGACACCCAAUCAAGUGGACAAUUUGAGGUGGAGAGUGGAAAUUGAUGAAGACCAAUCUUGACGAAUCUAAGAACUGGUAGUCUCGCCAGAUGUUGAGAAAUCAGGUAUAAAACCGGGAUACCCCAGAUCACUUGUAAAGGAAAGCCGCAACAAAGCUAGCAAAUGGUUGUAUAUACGAAAAGGCAGUACGGUGGAUAGAUAUGUUCUAAGAAGUUCUGUCUAGGAGAUUGAGUUUUAAGCGGGACCAGUGUGACCCCUCCAAAUCUUUCCUGGGAACUUGCUUAGUUGAAGGAUCAUCCACACAGUACUAUUUUUGUAUAUGUAAUAGUUUGUAAUGAAACUGUUGAAGACUAGCAAGAUGACGACACAAAGGAACAGUUGGGUUCUGUAUGUUCAAGGAUCUGAUGGAGUGGUGAUUUCUCCAAAGAAGUUAGAUUCGGUGACUGUAAUUUCUCGAAGGGAUAAUUAAUGAAGACCCUUAUAAUGGAAGAGAAAUACAACAAGGGAUAAAGAUUGGCACCCUAUUUUGACUUGGAUAAAUGUUAUGACAGGAUGAGCUGCUGUUAAACAUAAAAGCAAAGAAUAGGGAGAAAUCUGGAGAACCGAAAUUGCACGAGAGCACAUGGAGAUUGUGCAGGAGUACCCGUAGGAUCCAACGAGGUACUGUAAUGAGACGAUAGGUGCAAGGAGAAGAAGAGUUCCUAGAUGAAGCUCAGAGCAGAGACUGUGUGAAAAAGUUGUACAACAGGAAGUCUCUUGUGCUCUUGAUAAAGGCAACAAGCGAAGACCUUUCCAAUGCAUGCAAUGAUGGAAAGAUGAGCUGUUGCAGAAGCAUCUAAUUAAGGGGGUGCGACUGCCGAUGAAAGGCGAAAACACCAAAGAGAGUUGGUGUGGGUGGAGCUAUCAAGCAGAAAGGCAUAGAAGCUCCAAACAUAGAAAAUAAGAUGGAAGAUUGCGAAGAGUGCACCGCAACUCUCUCUUUCUAUGUGAUCAGUGGCAGUGAUCUCUCCCAAGUCCACAUGGUGGUAAAGAAUCUUAGAGUCACUGGAGACAUCCCCGAUGAAGGAGGAUGUGACCGCUUCAUGACGGACGGAGACACCUCAGACAAGAAGGUGUGUGGGCCAUGAAAGGAGCCCAAGUACAAACCGCCGCAUGACGACGAGCCGAGACACCUCAGGAAAGAAGGUGUGUGGGCCAUGAAAGGAGCCCAAAUACAGACCGCCACAUGACGAUGAGCGGAGACACCUCAGGCAGAAGGUGUGUGGGCCAUGAAACUAGCUCAAGUUUAGACCGUCUCAUGACGACAAGCGGAGACACCUCGGAUGGAAGGUGUGAGGACCAUGAUAUGAGUCCAUGUUCAGACCGUCUCAUGACGACAGGCGGAGACACCUCAGGAGAAGGUGUGAGGACCAUGAUAUGAGUCCAUGUUUAGACCAUCUCAUGACGACAGGCGGAGACACCUCAGGAGAAGGUGUGAGGGCCUUGAUAGGAGCCCAAUUACAGAAUGUCCCAGAGCCAAUGUGAUGGCUGGAUAUAAGUGGACAAGUGUAUAGCCAAUGAAGAGGCUAUGAUGAGUAUGGAGACAGAUGCAGGAUUGACUUUCAUGGAUAUUGCCCCCAUGCUAAAGAUCAAUGAGCUAGAAGACAUUUGCCUUGGACAAUAAGUGGGUGACUUGUGGAGCAUUAAGACGCGGCUGCUAUGAAGAAGCAGAGGGCAUGCGCAGGUUCCGGGAACAAGUUGACUCUUGUCAAGGUGGUGAGCUCGGUGAAGGCAUUGUAAUACUCAGAGUAUCAAGACAUAUAUGGAUCAACCUUUAAUGGGUUGCCCCCAUGGUUUAAGGUAGAGAGCUACCUGGACUCUUAAGACUAAGAGCGGGAGACUCACGGAGAAGUAAGGCGUGGUUCCUAGGGAGGAACAGAGGGCAGACGCAACUCCGGGAUGAGUAGACUCUUGGAAGAGUGGUGAGCUCGUGAUCAUAUUGAAAUACUCAAUGACUGUCGCACUUGGAAAUAUCCGUUUGAGGGGGUGUUGUAAGCCUUGGUGUAAGGCUUGAUAAAUCAUUCCGGGCCAAGCAUGGUUGAUAUGCUUGAAGGGGGAUGUUGUUCCAGAGACAAGCGUUAAACACUCUUCAGAUGAGAUAUGACAAACCAUCUGGUUGAAGUGAUCCUUUGGAGUGAGCAAAGGGGUGUUUGGAUGACUCUGGUGAUUGAAAGGUUUGGCAAGUACCUGGAAACUUGGCCAAAGACGCUCUCUGAAUGGUAAGCUUGGAAGAGCUGCAGAAUGCAAGCAUGUGCUGAAGAAGCAAGAGGAUAAUUGCCCACAUGAAUGGCAAAGGGGGUGAUUGUUAGGAUUAUUGCCAUUACGUGCAGCAAUCAUAGAGCAUUUACAGCCUAUCUUCUAGAAGAGGAUGGCUGCCAUUGCCAUUGUCAAAGAGGGCUGCUAGGUGCAGCCACCAUUGUUGAAGAAGAGCUAGAGUUGGCAAUCACCUUUGUUGAAGAAGAGCUGGAGUUGGCAGCCAUCAUUAUUGACCAAAGAACAAAUGGAGCAGCACCAUGGAUGCCUAUAAAUAGAGGCAUACGGUUGAGAGCAAAAUGAGAGAGUUAAGAGAGAGUGUGUAGAGCCAAAGAUGUGAGAAAUGUAGGAGAGAGUGGGCUGCCAAGGCAGCCAGCAGUAGCUGCCAUUGCAGCACUGAAAAGAGAGAAAUAGAGUGAGGUUGAGAGUUGCCAAAGAGGGGAUGAUUCCUCCUCCUCUAUUGUUGUAAAUCUUGUUCUCUCCCUAUAUAAUGCAAUGGCUUCUCCUGUGGAUGUAGGCAGUUUGCCGAACCACGUUAAAUAUUGUGUCAGUGUGUUUUUUCUCCUAUGAGCAAAUAUCAUAACAUCACCGGUCGGAAUUCCCUACCUAUUAUCUACUCUCAACAAAAAUGUCUGUUUUGAAAGUGAAUUAAUAUGCAUAAUUGAAUAUUUCUUUAACCCCAUUUGGAACAAAAGGUAUGUGAAAAGAAAGUUUGAAUUUUUUAUUAAUAUUAAGAUGUACUA